rnacentral:rRNA from 1 species
UACGAAGGGGGGCUAGCGUUGCUCGGAAUCACUGGGCGUAAAGCGCACGUAGGCGGCUUUUUAAGUCAGGGGUGAAAUCCUGGAGCUCAACUCCAGAACUGCCUUUGAUACUGAGAGGCUCGAGUCCGGGAGAGGUGAGUGGAACUGCGAGUGUAGAGGUGAAAUUCGUAGAUAUUCGCAAGAACACCAGUGGCGAAGGCGGCUCACUGGCCCGGUACUGACGCUGAGGUGCGAAAGCGUGGGGAGCAAACGGG